rnacentral:rRNA from 1 species
GACGAACGCUGGCGGCGUGCUUAACACAUGCAAGUCGAGCGAUGAAGUUCCUUCGGGAAUGGAUUAGCGGCGGACGGGUGAGUAACACGUGGGUAACCUGCCUCAUAGAGGGGAAUAGCCUUUCGAAAGGAAGAUUAAUACCGCAUAAGAUUGUAGUUUCGCAUGAAACAGCAAUUAAAGGAGUAAUCCGCUAUGAGAUGGACCCGCGUCGCAUUAGCUAGUUGGUGAGGUAACGGCUCACCAAGGCGACGAUGCGUAGCUGACCUGAGAGGGUGAUCGGCCACAUUGGGACUGAGACACGGCCCAGACUCCUACGGGAGGCAGCAGUGGGGAAUAUUGCACAAUGGGGGAAACCCUGAUGCAGCAACGCCGCGUGAGUGAUGACGGUCUUCGGAUUGUAAAACUCUGUCUUCAGGGACGAUAAUGACGGUACCUGAGGAGGAAGCCACGGCUAACUACGUGCCAGCCGCCGCAGUAA